UUGAUUCUAACCAUGGAAUGGAGCUGGGUCUUUCUCUUCCUCCUGUCAGUAGCUGCAGGUGUCCACUCCCAGGUUAAGCUGCUGCAGUCUGGGGCUGAGCUGGUAAAACCUGGUGCUUCAGUGAAGUUGUCCUGCAAGACUUCUGGUUUUACCUUCAGCACUAGCUAUAUGAGUUGGUUGAAGCAGGUGCCUGGACCGAGUAUUGAGUGGAUUGGAUGGAUUUAUGCUGGAGAUGGUGGUACUAACUAUAAUCAGAAGUUCAAGGGCAAGGCCACACUGACAGUAGACAAAUCUUCUAGCACAGCAUACAUGGAUCUCAGCAGCCUGACAUCUGAGGACGCUGCAGUCUAUUUUUGUGCAAGGCACAGUGUUGUAACCACAUCCUGAGUGUGGCAGAAACCCUGGAGGAGCAAGAAGCUUCCUUGGGACUCAGAUAACAGAAAAGAAUAACAUUUAGAUUUCCUCAGAAACAACUAUUUAGAGUGUCUAUUUUUUGCCUCCUCCUAACAGACCUACAGUGACUUUGUUAACUUUUUG